AGUGAACGCUGGCGGUAGGCCUAACACAUGCAAGUCGAACGGCGGCACAGUAAGAGCUUGCUCUUACGGGUGGCGAGUGGCGGACGGGUGAGGAAUACAUCGGAAUCUACUUUUUCGUGGGGGAUAACGUAGGGAAACUUACGCUAAUACCGCAUACGACCUACGGGUGAAAGCAGGGGAUCUUCGGACCUUGCGCGAUUGAAUGAGCCGAUGUCGGAUUAGCUAGUUGGCGGGGUAAAGGCCCACCAAGGCGACGAUCCGUAGCUGGUCUGAGAGGAUGAUCAGCCACACUGGAACUGAGACACAGUCCAGACUCCUACGGGAGGCAGCAGUGGGGAAUAUUGGACAAUGGGCGCAAGCCUGAUCCAGCCAUACCGCGUGGGUGAAGAAGGCCUUCGGGUUGUAAAGCCCUUUUGUUGGGAAAGAAAAGCAGCAGGUUAAUACCCCGCUGUUCUGACGGUACCCAAAGAAUAAGCACCGGCUAACUUCGUG
rnacentral:rRNA from 1 species